UUGAGGGUAAUCUGGCUUUGACAUCUGUCACCUUAUUUAUCUGGAUGGCAAGGCAGGUGUCCCCUUCCUCCCUCACCUCUCCAUGUAUGUCCCUCCUAAAGCUGCACACUCAGUACUAGAGGAUGACUUUCUCCAAUAGAGGCUUACUAUUCUUCUGUCAAGGGUAUACAUACAAAUAGCUGCUAUUCCCUGCUGGAAAAAGCUCCCAAGGUCCAUAAGUGGGUUACAUGUGUUUAUAUUUACUUUAU
rnacentral:snRNA from 1 species